CAUAGAUAUAUUUAACAUUGUGUCCUUACACACAGAGUGAAGGUUAUGACGAAAUUCAAGGCGUAAUAGCUAUUUGUAUGGUUGCAAAACAUACCUCACUUGCAGUAAUUAACACAUCGUUUGUGACACAUGGGAACACCACUGUUUACAUGGUAUGGUGACACGAUGGGGAAAUAAGGGAGGAAGCGAGGACCUCUUCCAAGGGACGCGAGACUGGAAAUGAGGUUCCGCGCAAUUGUGACGAGACAGACGCCUAGGCAUUGAUCUGUGCGCGCGGGUCGAGAGGGCGGAGAGGCAGCCUCCGGUUGCCAUAGAAACGGCAAUAUGGCUGCUUGAGAGCAGCUGAAAAUGUAGGCCAGAGUUUUAUUCACCGGUUAUUGCAUUGAUUAGAUUUA